rnacentral:piRNA from 1 species
UGUUCAGACUGGUGUCCAU